GACGUAGGGCGCGAGCGUUGUCCGGAUUUAUUGGGCGUAAAGAGCUCGUAGGCGGCUUGUUGCGUCUGCUGUGAAAUCCCGGGGCUUAACCCCGGGCGUGCAGUGGAUACGGGCUGGCUGGAGGCAGGCAGGGGAGAAUGGAAUUCCUGGUGUAGCGGUGAAAUGCGCAGAUAUCAGGAGGAACACCGAUGGCGAAGGCAGGUCUCUGGGCAUUAACUGACGCUGAGGAGCGAAAGCAUGGGGAGCGAACAGG
rnacentral:rRNA from 1 species